rnacentral:rRNA from 1 species
UACAGAGGUCCCAAGCGUUGUUCGGAUUCAUUGGGCGUAAAGGGUGCGUAGGCGGCGCGGUAAGUCGGGUGUGAAAUCUCGGAGCUUAACUCCGAAACUGCAUUCGAUACUGCCGUGCUUGAGGACUGGAGAGGAGACUGGAAUUUACGGUGUAGCGGUGAAAUGCGCAGAUAUCGGGAGGAACACCUAUUGCGAAGGCAGCUCGCUGGGACGUCACUGACGCUGAGACGCGAAAGCGUGGGGAGCAAACAGG